rnacentral:lncRNA from 10 species
GUUUGUCCCUAGCAGGUCACCCAGAGUCCAACAGGAAGUGAGAGCAGCUCCUUCCUGCUGCAGUAAGAGAUGAACAUUCCCUUUGGAGAGACACACUAGGUCACUACAAAUGGGCCACUGAAGAACCUGGCACUGGCCGCUAUCACUGGCCCCAGCUGCAGUGCUGCUUGCUGUUCACAGAUUAAGACCCUGGGGCUUGGAGACAGCAAGUGACUGUCCCAAGAUCACUCAGCUGAUAAGUGAUGGAGCCAGGAUUCCAGCCUAGACUGUCUGACUGCAAGGGGCUUGAACUUUUCACCGUAACGCAGAUUGUGAAUUCCAUGAAAGCAGGGACUGUGCUUUCUGAGUCUCUAGCCAAGCACCUGCCACAUGAUACUAUGUGAGGUGCUGAGGAUCCAGGUGUAAAAGUUCCUAUCUAGUGGGGCAUGCAGGCGAGGCCAUGUGAUUAGUCCUGAGAGAAAGCAUUGUGAGUCAUUUCCAAGCUGCAGUACCUACAAGCCCAUGGGAAGUUCUUCGGUUUCUCUUUCCUCUGCCAUCACAACUAAGGAACCUCAGAUGAAACCUCUUGGGCCCCUGAGUCACUGCAUGGAAGACAAUUGCCUUGUAGAAUCACAAUGGAUUUUGUGUAAAAGAGAAAUAAAUAAAGCAUUGUUUUGUUAAGCCACUG